GGGGUUGUGGCUCAGUGGUAGAGCACUUGUCUUGCAUGUGUGAGGCGUGGGUUCGAUCCUCAGCACCA
rnacentral:tRNA from 1 species